rnacentral:tRNA from 1 species
GAGGGUCGAGCUCAGUGGUAGAGCGCAUGCUUAGCGUGCACGAGGCCCUGGGUUCAAUCCCUGGUACCUCC